rnacentral:rRNA from 1 species
GAUGAACGCUAGCGGAAGGCUUAAUACAUGCAAGUCGAGCGGUAGAUGGCUUCGGCCAUUGAGAGCGGCGCACGGGUGAGUAACGCGUACAUGACCUGCCUGUCAGAAGGGAAUAGCCCUGGGAAACUGGGAUUAAUACCCUAUGGUAUUGAUAUUAUGAAUGAUAUCAAUUAAAGUUGAGGCGCUGACAGAUGGAUGUGCGUCUGAUUAGCUAGUUGGUAGGGUAACGGCCUACCAAGGCGACGAUCAGUAGGGGGCUGAGAGCGUGGUCCCCCACACGGGUACUGAGACACGGACCCGACUCCUACGGGAGGCAGCAGUAAGGAAUAUUGGUCAAUGCCCGCAAGGGUGAACCAGCCAUUCCGCGUGGAGGAUGAAGGCCCUAUGGGUUGUAAACUUCUUUUAGAUGGGAAGAAAAUGCUAGAUGUAUCUGGUACUGACGGUACCAUCAGAAUAAGCACCGGCUAACUCCGUGCCAGCAGCCG